GUAGAAACAAUUCACUAAUUUUGCUCAUUUACACAAAGCGCCACCUGGGGGUCAGCUACCAAACCUACAAUUCCUAUGUGUACUACUACAGAAUAAAUUAACACAAUCAGCAAAAUCAACCACUAUAAU